rnacentral:lncRNA from 1 species
CAUGGUUAAAAGGUCACGAAGUUUCUUUGGUGGAAUUCUGGGUAUUUUUGCCGUAGUCGCGCCAGAUCCUUUGCACAAAUCGUCAGGCCAAAAGAUCAAGUCCACCCCUCUAUCAUUAGCAAGAUGGUUGGGGGCAUCCCCCAGGAAUCUGCCCAUCAUUGCUGGCCAACAGAAUCAACCAUCAGCAAGAAACCAACAGCAAUGCCCUGUAUCAUCAUCACAUCAGACACCAUCAACGCCGCCUCAGCAAACAACUCUCAAUACAGUGUCCAGCGCUGCUGCCGAUAGUUCAAGCAGGACUCCAGCCUCCCUAUAUAAUGUCCCUACAUCUCAGCAUUGCAGACUGGAGGUGUUCUCUUGCUUUAUAAAGGCAGGGUUCAAAGAAUAGAGCCCUGUGCCAUACAACUGCCUACCAGUGGCAAGGUCAUCCAAGGGAGUGGUGCCUUUGGAACUGUCUGGCAAGGAACCUUCCAUGGAACAAGAGUGGCCAUCCAAUUCAUCAGGUCAAAGACAGACUUCCAGUCCUGAGGGAGGCGAGAGCUAUAGGCCUUUUUUCAGGGCAUCUGUCUUUUCCAUGUUUCUUUGGCCUGGUAGUGGCUGGCCACCACCAAGGAUGGACUCGUGAUGGAUCACCAGAAACUCCAUUAUGGGCCAGUUGCUGACCUUGAGGGAUGCCCUGGAAGGGCCCAGCUGACUACAUCUUGCCCCGUCGUCCAGGUGCUGCAUUGUGCUGUAUGUGUUGGACGGUCUGCGAUUCAUGCAAGACAGGGGCCUCCUUCAUAACGACCUCAAAGCUGAUAUGAUUUUGGUCCGUGAUGUUGGGGGCUCCUGGUGUGUGUGUAUUAUUGACGUGGGGUUGUGUACCCUGGCGAGCCAUCCUCGGGUACACUACCUCACCUCAGCACAGAAGGCGCGAUGGCGGCGCUAUCACGUGCACAUCGCCCUAGAGCUGGUGGAGGAUGCAGCACCACAGACCAAGCUCAGUGAUGUUUUCCAGAUGGGUCUGGUGCUGUAUUUUGUGGGUCUCUGGGGCGGUGUACCAGGCAUGAUACCGCUCGCCUAUUGGUGUCUGAGGCAAGACCACCUGAUGCGGUCAUCAAUGGCCAUACUCCCGCUCAUGUAGGCUGGGGUUGCAUAGGUCAAUUAACUUGCUAUUUUAGUUGAACUGUUUGUGGCUGCUAAUGCUAAAAUGUGAGAAAUGUACAAAUUAUGAGGCAUCACAGAGGAAGAGCUUAAACUCUACUCUAACAAGAACUUGGAAAUUUCUUGAAGUUUGUAAAGAAACAACAUCAGUAGGACUAUGACUGAUUCUUUUUUGGGGCAUGUGAUAAAAAAAAUGAUGUUGUCAUCUUGUAAAAAUUUCUUGUUCCUGGUAUUUUGCUUAUAAUAUUAGAGAUAGCAUUUGACUUGUACCAUUUCCGAAAGCGAUCCAUGUCUAGCUAGAAAUUCCAUGGCAGAAAAAAAAACAAAAAAACCGGGCAUUAUAAUUUUAAGUUAAACGUGAAUUGCUUUCUAACUGUUCUACUCUUUCUAUGAAACGAAACGAAAAAUCGCUUGAUUUCCGGUAUGCAGUACUCUUGAGGAUUGGAGGGGUGGGGAAAUUUUCCAUUCAUUUUGGUGCUUGUGGUUCGGAGAUGAGGCUACGUUGUUUGGAAAGG